rnacentral:rRNA from 1 species
UACAGAGGUCCCGAGCGUUGUUCGGAUUCACUGGGCGUAAAGGGUGCGUAGGUGGUGAGGUAAGUCGGAUGUGAAAUCUCCGAGCUCAACUCGGAAAUGGCAUUGGAAACUACCUUGCUUGAGGGUUGGAGGGGGGACUGGAAUACUUGGUGUAGCAGUGAAAUGCGUAGAUAUCAAGUGGAACACCAGUGGCGAAGGCGAGUCCCUGGACAACUCCUGACACUGAGGCACGAAAGCUGGGGGAGCAAACAGG